rnacentral:misc_RNA from 1 species
CUCAUUUGCUGCUAUGGAAACUGCAUCUAGUGGGUCUGACGGAAUUGAAAGCAGACCAGGCAGUGAAAGAAGCAAACGAGCUUCUGGAGAAAGCCUUAUAAGGAANNNNNNNUCUAUCAUUGUUUAUUGCGUCUUCUCUCUUCAUGAUAUGGCUUACACAGAGAUAUUUUCAUUAUGGGCUGUCAGCCCAAGAAAGUUUGGGGGGCA